CGAGCUUCUCUUUCUUUGCGGUGCUGCUGCGGAAGGGAGCGCGCGAGUGAGAGCGCGUGGACGGGCCUCGUGUGUGAGCACCUCCAUGGAGUGUCCGCUGCCGGAGCGGUGCGAAGCCAUGCCUGCAGCUGUGUGCGAACUCAAGGUGCACGGGGGGGUGGGCUGAUGGACCACCGUCCGCUGAUGGUGUGAGUCCGCGAUGCUGCAGCCAGUGAGGAUGAGGAUCGUGACCUGGAAGGAGUUGUGCGGGAGUGAACACCUGCAAAGACACAGGAGCAGGAGACCAUCCACAGUCUGGGCCCCAGCAGGAGGGCCUCCACACCUCCUUGCUGUGCAAAUCCUCCAUGGGAAGGACCUGAUCAUGUGCCAAUGAACACAUGUUGCCUCUUAACCCUGAGUAAGACUUGCAGUAACCUGACUUGACCUCAUAGUGUUAAGCCCAAAUAAGUAACAUGCUGCAAAAAAAUGAGUUUCUUCUGCUACUCUAUACCUAAUAUUCAUGAGCGGGACAGAACACCGAAAACACAAUGGUGUGUAAAAGCUGUGAAGCCUGUUUCAGAACAAACCAAAGUAUUAGCUGAAUUGAAUUGUGGUGAUGACCAUGUGAAUUGGUCAUGAGGCAUUGAAAGGGAAACAGGUUUGCUAGGUUCUCACCUGCCAAGCUGCAGUGAUGUUUUUUGGGUUGAUACUACUGAUAAUCCUGCAUCUCGUUUCCCAUUUACAUGUAACAUGUCUAAAGAUCUGAUCAUGAAUACUUUUACAUUUAGCUCAUGCUUUGAUGCGAAGGUUAGUUGACCAGUUUAUACAGCAGGGUAAUUCUCCUGGAGCAAUUUAGGGUAAGUACCUUGCUGAAGGGUACCACAGCCAGUGAUGGGGCUCAAACCUGUCUUUCCCUCAUUCCUGAACAAUGACCACAAAUUCAAUAACCCAGCAGCAAUGUUAUACAAAGUGAGGGAAGUGCAUCAGCUGAUCAGAAAUAUGCAGCUGUGUUUAGAAGGGCCAGCUGUUGUCAAAAUAGUACAUGUUUGGGGCAACAAACAUGUUGCUACCAACAUAUAACUUCUGGGGCUGUAUGUACUGCUAAGGGGGUUAAGGGGUAUUGUGCUGUUCCAGUCAUAUUCAUUGUGAAAUAAAGUUUUUACACCUCA